CCUACGGGAGGCUGCAGUGAGGAAUAUUGGUCAAUGGACGAGAGUCUGAACCAGCCAAGUAGCGUGAAGGAUGACUGCCCUAUGGGUUGUAAACUUCUUUUAUAUGGGAAUAAAACGUUCCACGUGUGGGAUUUUGUAUGUACCAUAUGAAUAAGGAUCGGCUAACUCCGUGCCAGCAGCCGCGGUAAUACGGAGGAUCCGAGCGUUAUCCGGAUUUAUUGGGUUUAAAGGGAGCGUAGGUGGAUUGUUAAGUCAGUUGUGAAAGUUUGCGGCUCAACCGUAAAAUUGCAGUUGAAACUGGCAGUCUUGAGUACAGUAGAGGUGGGCGGAAUUCGUGGUGUAGCGGUGAAAUGCUUAGAUAUCACGAAGAACUCCGAUUGCGAAGGCAGUUCACUGGACUGCAACUGACACUGAGGCUCGAAAGUGUGGGUAUCAAACAGGAUUAGAUACACCUGUAGUC
rnacentral:rRNA from 1 species